UGGGCCGCUCUGCCGGCCACACCGUGCCACGGUGCGUGACGACGCGUAGGAAGCAGAAUGUAACCAGCGUGCCAUCUUCUCCUCGCCCAGUCUGGGCAGGUGAUUCUAUGCCCAGGCCCUUUCUGAGAAGCACUGGGCUGUCAUACGGGCGUGAAAGCAGCUAAGCGUUGGCACGGAUACCUGGGCCGUAUAGCCGAUGGAUUCUCACCACCGCUGAACCUUGUGUAUCGGGGACGUGAUCCAGACAGCAUUACAUCCCUGCAACACCAGAGCCAGGAAACUGCAAGACCCAGAAGAAGAAGCCCGUGGGUGUGACAAACCAGGUCCGAUGGAAAACCCUUCCUGUGUCACGGCGCAGCUAGGCCCGAGAGUCUGAAAAUGCAACGUUCGGCUCCCCCCUGCCUCCGGGCUCCUCACAACACUCCACCAAGGAAAAUCGUUUCCAUUUGUCAUGUGACAAACAUUUCCAGUCAACUCUUAUUGAGUUGAUAUCGGUUUAUUCAGGGAUCUACCACACUCUCCAAAUAGAAUUUGCAAAAGGUUUCAAAUGAAGUCAUGAAGAGAAUGAAGCAAGCUAAAUCCAUCCAUGACGCAGGCAAGGCAACUAAUGAUAUGGGCAUCUUUUGUAAAAAGAAUUCUUACUUUCUUCAAUUGAAGUUUAAGAUGUUUAAAGUUUGGAAGGGGAAAAAAUAUGGUCCUUUUGAGGAAACCAAAUUAGUUAAGGUUUGCUUUUUAAUGCUCCAAGAAGAUGACCAACUUAUUUGUUGACUAAAUAAACAUGGACCGGAAGAGAGAAACAGAGAUGACUGAGGAUUCAGAAUCAUCGCUGCUCAAGGGGAGGCUUGCAGAACUGGGAAGAGACACCCAAGGACCCAGGAUCCCAGGAGCUUUCUCUUUUGAAGCCAACAACAAAGGAGAUGUGCUGGGAAUUUCCGGUGAUGAAAACACUUGAAAGGAUCUUGAGUGUGUGAAACAAAAGAGACUGUAGGAGUCUGCAACUCCUCUCCUAGAUCUAAAGACAGUGAAGACCUGUGGAUCAGGUCAUUUCAAAGAAAUCGGUAGGGCAAAGAGGACAGACUGCAAGAGCCUAUGAUGAGUCGUGUCAUCUGGUGUUUCCUCUUCCUGGAACAAUCUUGCCCACCACUCCCAGUGCCCUGCAUCUGCUGCCUUUACACAGAAAGCACCAUGGUUCUUCGUGGCUCUUUCCAAACACAACAUCCUCCCAGAAACAGUCCUUGGCCCCGAGUCCUUCACAAGCUCACACGGCCCCCUGUGCCCAACCUCUGACUCCCAGCCAUGGUUAAUCCGUCUCCAAACUGAUUCUAAAUAAUGAGAUAGCACUCUGGGUCUAUUUUAUACCCUGUUUAGCCAAGCACCGUACCAUACAUAAAGCAGAGACUCGAUACGUUUUUGUUGAAUGAAUAAAGUCUUUCAGAAACCAGAGCAUGACGUACACAGGCCCAAGUUCUCAUAUACCUGCUUCUUAGGAUUUUG